rnacentral:tRNA from 2 species
GGGUACCUAGUCCAAACAAGACAGCUGAUUUCGGCUUAGCAAAUUGUGGUUCAACUCCACAGUUACCCU